rnacentral:rRNA from 1 species
CCUACGGGAGGCAGCAGUGGGGAAUCUUGCGCAAUGGGCGAAAGCCUGACGCAGCGACGCCGCGUGCGGGAAGAAGGCCUUCGGGUUGUAAACCGCUUUCAGGAGGGACGAAGCCACUCGGGUGAAUAGCCCAGAGGGUGACGGUACUUCCAGAAGAAGCCCCGGCUAACUACGUGCCAGCAGCCGCGGUAAUACGUAGGGGGCUAGCGUUGUCCGGAUUUAUUGGGCGUAAAGAGCGUGUAGGCGGCCAGAUAGGUCCGCUGUGAAAACUCGAGGCUCAACCUCGAGCUGUCGGUGGAAACCAUCUGGCUAGAGUCCGGAAGAGGAGAGUGGAAUUCCCGGUGUAGCGGUGAAAUGCGCAGAUAUCGGGAAGAACACCUGUGGCGAAGGCGGCUCUCUGGGACGGUACUGACGCUGAGACGCGAAAGCGUGGGGAGCGAACAGGAUUAGAUACCCUGGUAGUCCACGCCGUAAACGAUGGGUGCUAGGUGUGGGGAGUGUCGACUCUCUCCGUGCCGAAGCUAACGCAUUAAGCACCCCGCCUGGGGAGUACGGCCGCAAGGCUAAAACUUAAAGGAAUUGACGG